AUACGUAGGGUGCAAGCGUUGUUCGGAAACACUGGGCGUAAAGGGCGUGUAGGCGGAGAAGUAAGCCAGAGGUGAAAGCCCGGGGCUCAACCCCGGAGGGUCUUUUGGAACUGCUUUUCUUGAGAGGGUUAGAGGUUAGCGGAAUUCCUGGUGUAGCGGUGAAAUGCGUAGAUAUCAGGAGGAACACCGGAGGCGAAAGCGGCUAACUGGGGCCAAUCUGACGCUGAGGCGCGAAAGCAUGGGGAGCAAACGGGAUUAGAAACCCCAGUAGUCC
rnacentral:rRNA from 1 species